UGCGCAGGCGCGAGCCCGGGAAGGAAGGGGCGGGUCGGAGGUUGCGCCCGAGGUGGGGCUUGGGAAGCGGGGGAAUAGGAAGAAAGGAGUCUUGGAGUCGGACUCCCAAGUCUGCAGCGGACCGUGAAGAUAACCUCCUGCUGUGGAGCAGCCUGAAGUUCAGAGCGAGCCGGUGACCGACUCGAGGGCUUGCCUGCAGAAUGGUGGAAGCGCGCUGCUCGGGCGCAGCCCCCCCGACUCUCAGCUCCUGGUUCCCUGAGGAUGUCAGCCGGGGCGCCCCGGAGAGGCCGGGGCCGAGAAGGCGUGGCCCCUGGGCUCGGGAAGCUCCUCAGGGAGAAAACAGGGGCCCGGGGGCCUGGAGGGGGCGGGGACUCGGAGACCGACGUGAAGACGAGAAAUAGAACCGAGGAUGUGCUCCUUGUCCGGCCGAGCGCGCUCUGUCCUCGGAGCCUUGGCUCUUGCUGCUCCCUUGUCCUGGCGUGCUCACCAGCUCCAGUCUGCUCGUGGGGGACCCCCGAGACGACUUCUCUGGGCUCUCACAUAAUUCCAUCUGUCCUUUAAUUAGUGUAAUUUAUUAAAGCCCUUCUCUCACCACCUGACAUACGAACCCAGGGAUCCUGACUCGGACUGCGAUCCAGGAGUGGGCUUCAGGAAGUCUGUGAGCCUCCUGGAAUGUCAUGUGAAAUUUAGCGGGGGGGGGGGGUGCCCUCUGAACACUUAUCUAGGAAGAAAUUCAGGAUGGCUCUCUCUAGAGCGACGGUUUGUAAGUUUUUGGGUUUUAGUUUUUGACCGUGGAUCCCUUUGACAAUUUGCAUUGUCCAGAAAGUAGUAUCUCGAGCUUGCGGAAAUUCCGGAAAGAUUAGGUAACCACUUGCAUUUUUAGAUAUUUUCUUCGGGGCAGCCUCCCAAGAUGCCUGAGUAGGAACAGAGACCAGUGACUUGUUCAGAGACACCUACUUUGGGCUUAUCAGAAAACAAACCAGUUUGAAGGAAUCUUUUUAGACUUGGUCCUUUCUUCAGUGCUGUGCAUUUUCAGGAAGAAUGGAGUGUGGAUCGCUUGGAUGGACCAAAGACACGUAAUUCCUUCUGUUACAUGGCAGGAAGGGUGGGUAAACUUAGGGAUAGCGAAGACAACACAUUAAUCAAGAGCCUUCCUCAUUUCGCAGAACCUGUCCUCAGUAAGAAUGUCGGAUAGGGUUGACUGGUUACAAAGCCAAAACGGAGUAUGCAAAGUUGAUGUCUAUUCACCUGGAGACAGCCAACCCCAAGACUGGAAAACGUUGGAUGAAUCCUUUUCUGUUUUUAAGGAAGCCUCAACUGACCCUAUCAGGGUGCUCAGCUGGCUCCGCAGAGACCUGGAAAGAAGCACAGCAGGCUUCCAGGAUGCCAGGUUCAAGCCCAGAGAGUCAUCCCAAGUUGGGGGGGAAGCGGUCAGCUCGGGAGACCCGAGCAAAGGCUUCUGUGUGGACUAUUAUGACACCGCCACCACGGGCGGCAGUCCCGGGAGACUGCAUUUCGAGGUGACUCACAGGGAGAACCCCUACCCGGGCCCCAGCUCCCAGGCCGGUACUGGGAGCUCGGUGGACGAAGUUUCCUUCUACGCCAACCGCCUCACGAAUCUCGUCAUAGCCAUGGCCCGCAAGGAGAUCCACGAGCGGAUCGACGGCGCCGAGAACACGUGUGUCCAUCAGUCCGUGUACCUGGGAGACAAGCCCGCGCCCAACAAAAGCCUGAGCAAGGUGGCAUCGGAGCUGGUAGACGAGACUGUCUCCUCGUGCUCCAAAGCCGCCGCGUCCGACAAGGCCCCGGGCUCUGGUGACAGGGCCGCGGGGUCACUGCAGAGCGGCCCGAACCUGAAAUACAAAAGCAGCCUGAAGGUCAAGGAGAGCGCCAAGGGGGGCAGGGGCCCCGACGACAGGCCCCCUUCCAGCAGGUCCUUCUUCUACAAGGAGGUGUUUGAGUCUCGCAACGCAGGGGACGCCAGGGAGGGCGGGCAGGCCUUGCCUGCGGAGAGGAGGCUGCUCAGUGGGCAGGAGAGGCCCGACAACUUCACGGCGUCUGUCAGCCAAGGGAUCAUGACCUACGCUAACAGCGUGGUGUCAGACAUGAUGGUCUCCAUCAUGAAGACCCUGCGGAUCCAGGUGAAGGACACCACCAUCGCCACCAUCCUGCUGAAGAAGGUUCUGAUCGAGCACGCGAAGGAGGUGGUCUCAGACCUCAUCGACUCCUUCAUGAGGAACCUCCACAAUGUCACGGGCACCCUCAUGACCGACACAGAAUUUGUCUCGGCGGUGAAGAGGAGUAUCUUCUCUCACGGAAGCCAGAAGGCCACAGACAUCAUGGACGCCAUGCUGGGUAAGCUCUACACGGUGAUAUUUGCCAGGAAACCUCCCGAGACUGUCAGGAAAAGCCAGGACAAGUCCGAGAGCUACUCCCUUGUCUCCACGAAGGGAGUGGGCGAUUCUAAAAGCCGAAGCGUCAACUUUGCAUCAGUGAGAUCGGAAGCUAAACUGAGGGAAAAAGCAUGCUCUGCUGCGCCCGAACCAGAGAAGGGGAAGACUUGUGCCGAAACUCUGGGCGAACACAUCAUCAAAGAGGGGCUGACCAAGUGGCACAAAAGUCAGCAGAAAGAAGGAAGAUCCCCAGGUUUCCAACGUGCACCAUUCGCAGCUCCCAACAAACAGUAUAAGCCUGCACCGGACAUUCCCCUGGGAUUUCCUUUCGACCCUUGCAACCUCAGCCCCCCGAUGCAUCACCCAGAGAAACCUGAGAAUUUUAUGAGUGAUUCAGACUCCUGGGCCAAGGACCUGAUCGUCUCUGCCUUACUUCUGAUCCAGUACCACCUGGCCCAAGGGGGGAGCAUGGAUGCACAGAGCUUCCUUGAAGCUGCUGGCACCACCCACCUGCAGGCCAACAAGUCCCCCAUAGUAUCGGAUGAGUGCAGCCUGAAAUGUCCCCACCCGGGGGCUGACCAAGAAGCAGCAGAAAAGAAGGAUCUAAUGAGCGUUUUCUUCAACUUUAUCCGGAACUUACUUGGGGAGACCAUUUUCAAAAGCGACCGGAGCUCUGACCCCAGGUCAGCUAAGGAAGAAGACAGCCCCCAGCGCGAAAGGCCGGCAACCCCCUCUCCCAUCAGACUGGGCGAGGGCAGCAAGCCUCGGGGUCCUUUGGCCGGGCUGACCAAGGUGGUUGCCAGCCAGCUAGAUGGCCACAUGACGGGUCAGAUGGUAGAGCACCUGAUGGAUUCAGUGAUGAAGCUGUGUCUCAUCAUUGCCCAGUCCUGUGACUCCUCGCUGGUGGAGCUGGGAGACGACAAGUCUGGGGACGCCAGCAGGCCAGCGUCAGCCUUCCAAGACACUUUAUACGAGUGUUUGCCCAGCAAGGGCACAGGCACAGCGGAGACCUUCUUGCAGAAUGCCUAUCAAGCUAUCCAUAGUGAACUGCGAGGGGUAUCAGGACAGACCCCUGAAGGGAGUGCGGCCCCCAAAGUGAUCGUCAGCAAUCAGAACCUAACGGAUACGGUUCAGAACAAGCAGCUCCAAGCCGUACUUCAAUGGGUAGCCGCCUCUGAGCUCAAUGUCCCUAUUUUAUACUUUGCUGGUGACGAUGAAGGAAUCCAGCAGAAGAUUACCAACGUAAAGAUAAAGACUGUCACCUAUUUUCUUAAAGGAAAAGAGUGAAAAGGAUGGGCAGUAACACACCCAGACUUCAGCUCACGAGUAGGUUUGCACAGAGCAUCCGUGUAUUUUUAAGAACAGUUAGAUGAAGUAUACAUCAAAGAAACUACCUAAAAGUUCACUGAGCUUCUUGACUUUGUCAGUUAUGCCUUUUGGCAAACUGGGGGAGUUUUUCAUCCAUUAUUUCCUCAAGUAUGUUUUCUGCACCACCCUUUUUCUCUCUUCCUUCUGGGAUUCUAAUGACAUGCAUAUAAAACCUUUUGGUAUUGUCGCACAGGCCCUGAGCUCUGUUCAUUUUCUCAACCUGUUUGAAAGAGGUUUGACCACUCUCUUCCGUUGUUCCGUGUGGUCAGUUUCUAUUGCUCUGUCUGUCAAUUUCCAUUUGGUCCUUCUUUGUAUCUUCUCUUUGCUGAGGCUGUCUUUCCAUUUGUUUUAAGAGAAUCCGUAUGUACUUCUGUCUCUCGCAUGGAAUUUCCCCUGAAAAAGCUCCUGCUGUUUGGCCUGUUUAUCUGCCCUUUGACUUUUUCAGAGAGUCAAGCACAGAAUGCACGAAAUAAAAAUCUGGUCAGUUUGUUGCCAUAAGGAUUCAGAUGGAUGGCAACGUACUGUGUUCACAUUAGAAUGGUUGCUUUGGCUAACUUUUCACAUUUUGUGCUUGGAAAGAGAAUUAAACACAGGGUUCAGAAACCUGGCUGUGAACAUUCCUCUGCUGAUUUCCAGCCCUGUGCUGCUGGCAGGUCUCUCCACCUCUCUGGGAAGCAUGUUCACGAGGUUGAGUGGAUCUUUUGAGUCGCCCUCUGCUCUGACGUUCCAGGGCUCCCUGUCUACAGGGCGGGGAGAGCACCCACACUUGUCCGUUGGCUGUCUCCCUCCUGCCCUUGUUAGUCGUGGGACAGAGGUGGAGACUGUUUCAUGAUAUUACAGUGAACUUAAGAACUUUGGAGUCCUUACAGGACAAGAACAACACUGACAGACAUCCAUCGAAGCACGAAGAUUUUAGUCUCAGGAGGAAACUACAUUUUCUGUAUCACGGACAGGUGGAUGUCAUUUAAAUUAAGGACAACGUAACCAACUUUCUUCUGUCAAGCAGGCCAGCCAGCAUCACAGCUGUGGAAGUCUUUUCAGCGGCUAACUUGAGUCCUUCCUGCUGCAAGGACUCUCCGCUCCCCCUUGGCAGGCCCUUCCCACCCUCUGGGGAUGCUCGCCCCUCCCCCCACCACGCUUCCUUUCCCCCUCAGCUCCUUCAGCUCUCAGCGGCCGCGGUGGACAAAGGGCGCAGCGUAGGCGAGGUGCUGCAGUCGGUGCUGCGCUACGAGAAGGAGCGGCAGCUGGACGAGGCGGUGGGCAACGUCACCCGGCUGCAGCUGCUGGACUGGCUGAU